UACGUAGGGUGCAAGCGUUGUCCGGAAUUAUUGGGCGUAAAGAGCUCGUAGGCGGUCUGUCGCGUCUGCUGUGAAAACCUAGGGCUUAACUCUGGGCGUGCAGUGGGUACGGGCAGGCUAGAGUGCGGUAGGGGAGACUGGAAUUCCGGGUGGAGCGGUGAAAUGCGUAGAGAUCCGGAGGAACACCGACGGCGCAGGCAGCGUCCUGGCCGCUUGCUGACACUGAGGCACGAAAGCUGGGGGAGCAAACAGG
rnacentral:rRNA from 1 species